rnacentral:rRNA from 1 species
GACGAACGCUGGCGGCGUGCCUAAUACAUGCAAGUAGAACGCUGAAGGAGGAGCUUGCUCUUCUGGAUGAGUUGCGAACGGGUGAGUAACGCGUAGGUAACCUGCCUGGUAGCGGGGGAUAACUAUUGGAAACGAUAGCUAAUACCGCAUAAUAGUAGAUGUUGCAUGAUAUUUACUUAAAAGGUGCAAUUGCACCACUACCAGAUGGACCUGCGUUGUAUUAGCUAGUUGGUGGGGUAACGGCUCACCAAGGCGACGAUACAUAGCCGACCUGAGAGGGUGAUCGGCCACACUGGGACUGAGACACGGCCCAGACUCCUACGGGAGGCAGCAGUAGGGAAUCUUCGGCAAUGGACGAAAGUCUGACCGAGCAACGCCGCGUGAGUGAAGAAGGUUUUCGGAUCGUAAAGCUCUGUUGUAAGAGAAGAACGAGUGUGAGAGUGGAAAGUUCACACUGUGACGGUAUCUUACCAGAAAGAGACGGCUAACUACGUG